AUUGAACGCUGGCGGCAGGCCUAACACAUGCAAGUCGAGCGGAUGAAGGGAGCUUGCUCCUGGAUUCAGCGGCGGACGGGUGAGUAAUGCCUAGGAAUCUGCCUGGUAGUGGGGGAUAACGUCCGGAAACGGGCGCUAAUACCGCAUACGUCCUGAGGGAGAAAGGGGGGGAUCUUCGGACCUCCCGCUAUCAGAGGAGCCUAGGUCGGAUUAGCUAGUUGGUGGGGUAAAGGCCUACCAAGGCGACGAUCCGUAACUGGUCUGAGAGGAUGAUCAGUCACACUGGAACUGAGACACGGUCCAGACUCCUACGGGAGGCAGCAGUGGGGAAUAUUGGACAAUGGGCGAAAGCCUGAUCCAGCCAUGCUGCGUGUGUGAAGAAGGUCUUCGGAUUGUAAAGCACUUUAAGUUGGGAGGAAGGGCAGUAAGUUAAUACCUUGCUGUUUUGACGUUACCAACAGAAUAAGCACCGGCUAACUUCGUG
rnacentral:rRNA from 1 species